UACCUUUUGCACUGUCACUACAAUGUAUGAUAUAAAAAGAAUAAUUUCUUCCUUAGACUUGGAGACUUGUUUCUAACAUCACCAGAUGUGUAUGUCCCAGAGAUAAAGAACUGUCCAGUGAGCUCCAGAGCGCGGUACUUACCUCCCAUGCCUCUUCUGCAUCCAGGGAUGUUAUCCAUGGUAAAAAUAACAUUCCUUACAGAGGCCUUCUCUCCAAGCAUUACUAUAGCUUUUUCCCUCUACUCCACUGAACUGUCUGCAGUAUGGGACAUCACCCUACAAGUAGAGGACAACGUGCAAAGGCAGAUACACUUCUUUCUCUGAUAUACCAUUGUGCAUGGACUAAGCAGCAAAACUUCUCCCAGGUUGUAGUUAAAGAUCAUCCAUUUCUUGGACAACUAUUACUUCUUCAAGAACAAGGACAAGAGUGUGAGAUGGGUUAUGAUGCGACAAGACCUUCCUCAAGUUGUGUCCAUAACUGCUGAGUAUUAGACUUCAAUGUUGCAGCUAUGAGCUGUUUCAGAAGCUACAUAGCAAAAUGAGAUGAAACAAACACCUGUGCAAACUAGAACAGUAAUUGCAACAGCACACAGUUAUAUGAUAUGUACCUGGCACUGCACAUGAUAUGUACCUGGCACUGCACUGCAUGUAUGUCAGGCUUAAAAAUACUGACAUGAAGGGCCUAAUUAACAGUACUUAAUUGGCACCCGGUGUCUUUUGAAAUCAAGAAUUCACUGGACCUAACAUUUUUUUCUCAGAUCUCGUCUCCUCUGUAUUCCAAAUGUAUAUGAAAG
rnacentral:lncRNA from 1 species